CCUACGGGUGGCAGCAGUCGAGAAUCAUUCACAAUGGGGGAAACCCUGAUGGUGCGACGCCGCGUGGGGGAAUGAAGGUCUUCGGAUUGUAAACUCCUGUCAUGUGGGAGCAAAUUAAAAAGAUAGUACCACAAGAGGAAGAGACGGCUAACUCUGUGCCAGCAGCCGCGGUAAUACAGAGGUCUCAAGCGUUGUUCGGAGUCACUGGGCGUAAGGCGUGCGUAGGCUGUUUCGUAAGUCGUGUGUGAAAGGCGCGGGCUCAACCCGCGGACGGCACAUGAUACUGCGAGACUAGAGUAAUGGAGGGGGAACCGGAAUUCUCGGUGUAGCAGUGAAAUGCGUAGAUAUCGAGAGGAACACUCGUGGCGAAGGCGGGUUCCUGGACAUUAACUGACGCUGAGGCACGAAGGCCAGGGGAGCGAAAGGGAUUAGAUACCCUAGUAGUC
rnacentral:rRNA from 1 species